rnacentral:tRNA from 1 species
GGGGCUGUGGCUCAGCGGUAGAGCGCUUGCCUAGCAUGUGCAAGGCCCUGGGUUCAAUUCUCAGCACCA